GCCGGUAUAGCUCAGCUGGCAGAGCGACGCAUUCGUAACGCGUAGGUCGGGGGUUCAAUUCCCUCUAUCGGCACCA
rnacentral:tRNA from 2 species